rnacentral:rRNA from 1 species
GACGAACGCUGGCGGCGUGCUUAACACAUGCAAGUCGUACGGUAAGGCCAUUUCGGGGGUACACGAGUGGCGAACGGGUGAGUAACACGUGAGUAACCUGCCCACUCCUUUUUUAUAACGCUAGGAAGCUGGUGCUAAUACUGGUUAUGUGCUCCUGCUGCUUGGUGGGGGUUCGAAAGCUCCGGCGGUUUUGGAUGGAUUCGGGGGCUAUUAUCUUGUUGGCGGGGUAGUGGCCUACCGACGCGGCGACGGGUCGCCGGCCUGGGAGGGUGACCGGCCACAUGGGGACUGAGAUAGGGACCAGACGGCAACGGGAGGCAGCAGUGGGGAAUAUUGCACAAUGGGCGCAAGUCGGAUGCGGCAGCGCCGGGGGCGGGAAGACGUCUUGUGGGGUGUAAACGGUAGCAGCAGGAACGAAGCUUGUUGUGACGGUACCUGAAGAAGAAGCACCGGCUAACUACGUG